rnacentral:rRNA from 1 species
AUUGAACGCUGGCGGCAUGCCCUACACAUGCAAGUCGAACGAGACCUUCGGGUCUAGUGGCGCACGGGUGCGUAACGCGUGGGAAUCUGCCCUUUGCUACGGAAUAACUCAGAGAAAUUUGUGCUAAUACCGUAUAAUGUCGAAAGACCAAAGAUUUAUCGGCAAAGGAUGAGCCCGCGUAGGAUUAGCUAGUUGGUGAGGUAAAGGCUCACCAAGGCGACGAUCCUUAGCUGGUCUGAGAGGAUGAUCAGCCACACUGGGACUGAGACACGGCCCAGACUCCUACGGGAGGCAGCAGUGGGGAAUAUUGGACAAUGGGCGAAAGCCUGAUCCAGCAAUGCCGCGUGAGUGAUGAAGGCCUUAGGGUUGUAAAGCUCUUUUACCAGGGAUGAUAAUGACAGUACCUGGAGAAUAAGCUCCGGCUAACUCCGUGCCAGCAGCCGCAGUAACAC